CUUAGGAUGGCCGAGUGGACACAAGUUCUGGUCCUCGUAAGAGGGUGUGGGUUCAAACCCCACUUCUGACA
rnacentral:tRNA from 1 species